rnacentral:rRNA from 1 species
CGUGUGCAACCUACCUUUAUCUGGGGAAUAGCCUUUCGAAAGGAAGAUUMMCMCCCCAUAAUAUAAUGAUUGGCAUCARUUAUUAUUGAAAWMUCCGKUKGAUAGAGAUGGGCACGCGCAAGAUUAGAUAGUUGGUGAGGUAACGGCUCACCAAGUCUGUGAUCUUUAGGGGUYCUGAGAGGRAGAUCCCCCACACUGGUACYGAGACMCGGACCAGACUCCUACGGGAGGCAGCAGUGAGGAAUAUUGGACAAUGGGUGAAAGCCUGAUCCAGCCAUCCCGCGUGAAGGAUGACGGUCCUAUGGAUUGUAAACUUCUUUUGUACAGGAAUAAACCUACUCUCGUGAGAGUAGCUGAAGGUACUGUACGAAUAAGCACCGGCUAACUCCGUGCCAGCAGCCGCGGUAAUACGGAGGGUGCAAGCGUUAUCCGGAUUUAUUGGGUUUAAAGGGUCCGUAGGCGGWCCUGUAAGUCAGUGGUGAAAUCUCAUAGCUUAACU